UACAGAGGUCCCAAGCGUUGUUCGGAUUCACUGGGCGUAAAGGGUGCGUAGGCGGUCGGGUAAGUCUGAUGUGAAAUCUCCAAGCUUAACUUGGAAAUGGCAUCGGAUACUAUUCGGCUCGAGGAAUGGAGGGGAGACUGGAAUACUUGGUGUAGCAGUGAAAUGCGUAGAUAUCGGGAGGAACACCAGCGGCGAAGGCGGGUACCUGGGCCAACACUGACGCUGAGGCGCGAAAGCUAGGGGAGCAAACAGG
rnacentral:rRNA from 1 species